rfam:Phascolarctobacterium sp. YIT 12067 genomic scaffold Scfld50, whole genome shotgun sequence.
CUCUUAUCAAGAGUGGCGGAGGGAACAGGCCCGAUGAUGCCCGGCAACCAGACAAAUGUUAUGGUGCUACAUCCUGCAAGUGUAAUCUUGAAAGAUGAGAG